rnacentral:rRNA from 1 species
UACGGGAGGGCAAGCGUUGUUCGGAAUUACUGGGCGUAAAGGGCUCGUAGGCGGCCAACUAAGUCCGACGUGAAAUCCCCAGGCUUAACCUGGGAACUGCGUCGGAUACUGGUUGGCUUGAAUCCGGGAGAGGGAUGCGGAAUUCCAGGUGUAGCGGUGAAAUGCGUAGAUAUCUGGAGGAACACCGGUGGCGAAGGCGGCAUCCUGGACCGGCAUUGACGCUGAACAGCGAAAGCCAGGGAGCAAACGGG